rnacentral:lncRNA from 1 species
AGAAUAGAAUGGGCCUGUGAGGCUGGAAGGAGAUAUUUCCACACAGGUUCAGCCCUUCCUCUUGUCUUCUUGAGCCUGAUGGGCAGGAGCAGGAAGCUGCACCCUGUAGUCGCGACCCCACUCCAUGUGGCUGGGCAGGUUAAAGGGGAGCCAUGGGACCAGAGGCUUAGUGGUCCAUUUGGGCUCUGUGGUGGGAUUGACCUUGACUCACGGGGGGUGGUUGUUUGAACUCUGAAUCCAGACUCUUUGCCUUUAGACAGAACAAGAUCCAAACAAUUCUAGAAGAAUGUUCACUACAUUUUUCUUUGCCUCAGAUACUUUGCUUACUACUAAAUGUAACUCUUUUCUGAGAAUCUCAAAUUUCUAUUUCUUUCUUUGUUGGCCGAACUCACUCACUUCCUGU